rnacentral:rRNA from 1 species
UGAGGAAUAUUGGGCAAUGCCCGCAAGGGUGACCCAGCAACGCCGCGUGGAGGAUGAAUGUCGUAAGAUUGUAAACUCCUGUUAGAGGGGAAGAAUAGUACCGGUUGGACCGGUAUAUGACUGUACCCUCAGAGAAAGCCCCGGCUAACUACGUGCCAGCAGCCGCGGUAAUACGUAGGGGGCAAGCGUUGUCCGGAUUUACUGGGGGUAAAGGGCGCGCAGGCGGGAUAAAUAGUCAGUGGUGAAAUCCUACAGCUUAACUGUAGAACUGCCUUUGAUACUUUUAUUCUUGAGUUCGGGAGAGAGAGACGGAAUUCCAGGUGUAGUGGUGAAAUACGUAGAUAUCUGGAAGAACACCAGUUGCGAAGGCGGUCUCUUGAUCCGACACUGACGCUGAGGCGCGAAAGCGUGGGGAGCAAACA